UACGUAGGGCGCAAGCGUUAUCCGGAAUUAUUGGGCGUAAAGAGCUCGUAGGCGGCUUGUCGCGUCUGCUGUGAAAGACCGGGGCUCAACUCCGGUUCUGCAGUGGGUACGGGCAGACUAGAGUGAUGUAGGGGAGACUGGAAUUCCUGGUGUAGCGGUGAAAUGCGCAGAUAUCAGGAGGAACACCGAUGGCGAAGGCAGGUCUCUGGGCAUUAACUGACGCUGAGGAGCGAAAGCAUGGGGAGCGAACAGG
rnacentral:rRNA from 1 species